rnacentral:rRNA from 1 species
UACGUAGGGCGCAAGCGUUGUCCGGAAUCAUUGGGCGUAAAGAGCUCGUAGGUGGUCUGUUACGUCUGCUGUGAAAUCCUAGGGCUUAACCCUGGGCCUGCAGUGGAUACGGGCAGACUAGAGGUAGGUAGGGGAGAAUGGAAUUCCCGGUGUAGCGGUGAAAUGCGCAGAUAUCGGGAGGAACACCGGUGGCGAAGGCGGUUCUCUGGGCCUUACCUGACACUGAGGAGCGAAAGCGUGGGGAGCGAACCGG